AUUGAACGCUGGCGGCAGGCCUAAUACAUGCAAGUCGAACGGUAACAUAAGAAAGCUUGCUUUCUUGAUGACGAGUGGCGGACGGGUGAGUAAUAUUUGGGAAGCUACCUGAUAGAGGGGGACAACAGUUGGAAACGACUGCUAAUACCGCAUACAGCCUGAGGGUGAAAGCAGCAAUGCGCUAUCAGAUGCGCCCAAAACGGGAUUAGCUAGUAGGUGAGGUAAAAGGCUCACCUAGGCGACGAUCUCUAGCUGGUCUGAGAGGAUGAUCAGCCACAUUGGGACUGAGACAGGCCCAGACUCCUACGGGAGGCAGCAGUAGGGAAUAUUGCACAAUGAGGAAACGUACUGAUGCAGCCA
rnacentral:rRNA from 1 species